rnacentral:tRNA from 1 species
UGGGGAUUAGUCUAGCGGUAGGACAGCGGACUCUGAAUCCGUGAGGGGAGGUUCGAAUCCUCCAUCCCCAGCCA